rnacentral:rRNA from 1 species
GUGUCAGCAGCCGCGGUAAUACGUAGGUGGCAAGCGUUGUCCGGAUUUAUUGGGCGUAAAGGGAACGCAGGCGGUCUUUUAAGUCUGAUGUGAAAGCCUUCGGCUUAACCGGAGAAGUGCAUUGGAAACUGGAAGACUUGAGUGCAGAAGAGGAGAGUGGAACUCCAUGUGUAGCGGUGAAAUGCGUAGAUAUAUGGAAGAACACCAGUGGCGAAAGCGGCUCUCUGGUCUGUAACUGACGCUGAGGUUCGAAAGCGUGGGGAGCGAACAGGAUUAGAUACCCUGGUAGUCCACGCUGUAAACGAUGAAUGCUAGGUGUUGGAGGGUUUCCGCCCUUCGGUGCCGCAGCUAACGCACUAAGCAUUCCGCCUGGGGAGUACGAUCGCAAGAUUGAA